CAUUCAGAUAUUAGGAUGAACAUUUUUCCUUCUUCAUUGAACUUAAUGUUCAUUAUUGACUAUAAAAACUGACAUUAGCUCCAGCAUAAGUAGACAAUAAAAAAACUGGUUAGAGCGCUCUAGAAGCUGGACAAGAUAGUGCCGGGAAAUAAUUAAAGAUGAAAAGUGUGAAGAUGUGCCUUGUCCUUGUCAGUGUCACGUGUCUAUGUGUGACCCUUGUUACGUCUGCACCAACAUGGCCUGAAGGAGUAGACCUGGAAGAUCAGAAAAGUGGACCUGACUUCUCUUAUCCAUCAAUUCCGGAGAUCUACAACCGAGUCCGGAAACAGCUCGCCCAGAUGUAUGUCGGGAGAAUCCACUACAUGACGACCCCAGAGCCUAGCAGAAGAUAUCAAGGUCCUUACCUUAUUAAAGAUUAACUCCAAUGAGAGAGAGAGCUACUCUACAGAAUCAAAAAUAAAAUUUACUUUUGUUGCUAUUAAAGUUUAUUUGUAUUA